GUCCUACGGGGCGCAGCAGUAGGGAAUCCUCGGCAAUGGGCGAAAGCCUGACCGAGCAACGCCGCGUGAAUGAAGAAGGCCUUCGGGUUGUAAAAUUCUGUUAUAAGGGAAGAAAGGUGAUAGGAGGAAAUGACUAUCAAUUGACGGUACCUUAUGAGAAAGCAUCGGCUAACUCCGUGCCAGCAGCCGCGGUAAUACGGAGGAUGCGAGCGUUAUCCGGAUUUAUUGGGUUUAAAGGGUGCGCAGGCGGGAGAUCAAGUCAGCGGUAAAAUGUCGGGGCUCAACCCCGGCCGGCCGUUGAAACU
rnacentral:rRNA from 1 species